ensembl:lncRNA
AUGGGUUCGGAGACUUAUUGCUGCCCCAGUCGGAGCAGUAUGACCAGAGCCCUGGUGUCCCACAAGCAUCAGUCUGCCCCCAACCAGGCUCCCCCACUUGCUCUUUUUCUCUGCUGGGUCUGGAGCCCAGGCCGGAAACCUAGAUGUGGUCUCGCCUCCCUUCUCCUGAGGUCUGCUGCUGAAACUGCUGGUCCAGCCCAGAUGGAGCAUGAAGGUGAGAUGCUGACCACAUGGGAUGAUGGAACUGAGAAGCUGAGACACAACACCUUGCCCCAUUUUGCCAGAUGGUUGCUGCUGGGGCUGAUGCCAAUCCUCCUGGUACCAGUAUUAACUCUGCUGCUUCGACGUGUUGAGUCAGACGUCCCUGGGUCUUGCUGUUCCAGCCCUGGAAGCUGCUGGGUGGCACUAGGAUUUAUUGAACUGUGCCUUAGUACAGAUGCUGGGGCUUGCCCAUGGUGCUCUUGAUGUAUAAAGCCCGGACGUUCUGCCAAUUCUUCUUGAGCAAGGACACCAGGAAACUGACCGCUAAGUGGAUGUUGUACGCAAGCUCAUCAUCUGUCAUCUUCACAUGGCCAACAGCCACUGCCAGACACAGCACCUUUUUCAUCUGGAAUUUGAUGGUGGACUUCACUUCAUCCUCUUUGGCCACCAUGUUUUCAUUGUGGGUCAGCAAGGAAGGGAACUUGCCAGCCUUAUUCAGGCCUGGGCCCAGGAUUCGUGGGAUCUGCUUGAUCAGAGAUUCUGAAGCCAAAAAGGCACAUACUUCUUGGCCAACUUCUUGACUAAUUUCUUAUUCUUGUUGAGUUUCUUCAGUGCCUCAAUAUCCAUGUGGGAAAUAUCCACUGCCUUGGCCUCAUCACAGUGCUGCUGAUCCCCCAAAACACAUACGGAGAACUUGGGGUGGGGAGUGGACUUAAGCCUGAUGGUGCCCGAGAAGCGUUUGUCCUUCUGAGGGUCACAGUUCUUCAGACUGAUCUGCAGCUCCACCUCUCCAAAAACUUCCGGCGCUUGCACUGGUUCCCGUGCAGGACUUCCUGCACUGCCUCGUACAGGGUGUCGCAGGAGACUUUGCUGCUCAUGGUUCUUUGCACCGCGGUCUGUUUUUUUUAUUACUCUUAAUCACUAAUUUGAAAUGCCUUUCUAUAUUCCCAUAAAUAUAUGCUUAGCUUUGGGAUUUAUCUUGUGUCCCAUUAAUCUAUGUACAUAUUUUUGCAUUUUUACACUACUGUUUCAAUUUCUAUGGCUUUGUAUUAUUAUUAUUAUUUUUAAAGAUUUUGUUUAUUUGAGAGAGAGAGAAUGAGAGAGAGAGAGCACGAGAGGGAAGAGGGUCAGAGGGAGAAGCAGACUUCCCACUGAGCGGGGAGCCUGAUGCAGGACUCGAUCCUGGGACUCCAGGAUCAUGACCUGAGCCGAAGGCAAUCACUUAACCAACUGAGCCACCCAGGCGCCCCUGUAUUAUGUUUUAAUAUUUGAUAAGACAAGGUCUUUCUUAUUGUUCUUGUUUGUCAAAAAAUCCUUAUUGAUUUUUUGUGCAUUUUUUUUCUUUCAAAUGAUUUUAGAAUCAGGUUAUCAAGUUCCAAUUUUAAAAAUUCCUUGUGGGGCACAGGGGAUUUUUAGGGCACUGAAACUGUUCUGUAUGAUAAUGUGCUGAUGGACAUUACGUAUUAUAUAUUAUGAAUUCAUGAAAAUGAAAACUAAAAUAAACUACAAUACAAAGAGUGAAUCUCAAUGUAAACUGUGGACUCAGUUAAUAAUGAUGUAUUGAUAUUGCUUCAUCACUUGCAGUAAGUAUACCACACCCAUGCAUGAUGGUAAUAAUAGGGAAACUGAGGGCAAGGGAAAAAUAAUUUAUGGGAACUCUCUACUUUCUACUAAUUUUUCUGUAAUUCUGAAACUCCUCUAAAAAUGAAGUCUGUUAAUUUUGGGGGGGGGGGGCUGCCCUGCUUAAUUUGUGGGGAAUUGGCAUCUUUAAAAUAUAAAGUCUUGGCAUCCUAGAACAUUAGUUCAGGUCUUCUUGGAUGUCCUUCCUUUAAGUACGUCUUCCGCUUUUUCAUUUUAUUUAUUCCUAGGCAUUUUACAACUUUGUUGCAAUAGUGAAAAAUAUCUCUCUUAUUUCUACUAUGUAUUCCUAUUGGCUCUCUCUGUGAUUUAAGAAAGAUGGCAUUUUUUAAGUGUAAUUUAAAGUAGUUUAUUACUAUAUAUUAUGUUACUAAUUCACUUAAUUACUCACUAAGUCUACAUUGUUCCAAAAUCAGAACUCUUUUAAAAUAGUUAUCAUGAAUUUUCUUUUUAUGUCUUAUCUCUAGUGUUGUAUUAAACAGUGUGUAGGCAUAUGUACCAAAGACCAAAAUGUUUUCUACAUUGAUUGCAAAGAACUUUUAAGCCUGUCUUUCC